rnacentral:misc_RNA from 1 species
UCUCCGUAGGUGAACCUGCGGAGGGAUCAUUACUGAGUGAGGGCUCACGCCCGACCUCCAACCCUGUGUGAACACAUCUUGUUGCUUCGGGGGCGACCCUGCCGCUUCGGCGGUGCGGCGCCCCCGGAGGCCAUUAAACACUGCAUCAUUGCGUCGGAGUUAAAGUAAAUUAAACAAAACUUUCAACAACGGAUCUCUUGGUUCCAGCAUCGAUGAAGAACGCAGC